UUGACUUGCCCUAACUAUUCGACAGCCUCUAUUCGACAGCCUCUAUACUCUUCGUUCUACGCCUCCUCUUCGCUCUAUUCCUCCUCUUCAUCCUCUUGGUUCUUCGAAUCCAAGUAGAACUCGACAAAUCGUGCUCCAUCUUUUUCGAGUCAGGCCAGCUCUUGUUCCUCCUCUUCGCUCUACGCCUCCUCUUCGCUCUAUUCCUCCUCUUCAUCCUCUUGGUUCUUCGAAUCCAAGCAGAACUCGACAAAUCGUCCUCCAUCUUUUUCGAGUCAGGCCAGCUCUUGUUCCUCCUCUUCGCUUUACGCCUCCUCUUCGCUCUAUUCCUCCUCUUCAUCCUCUUGGUUCUUCGAAUCCAAGCAGAACUCGACGCCUCGUCCUCCAUCUUUUUCGAGUCAGGCCAGCUCUUGUACGUGCUCGAAGACAGUGAACAGGAUCGGUUCCUCAAGGCCGCCGUUUCGGAGAAACUUUGAGCUUUUGAGUCAUAGGAAUUGUGUUUCAUCUACAGAGUUAUUCUUCAUUCAGCUGGGCAAAGUUCGAAGCUUGCAUGACCAUGUAACUGGAGCUUUCUAGGCAUUCUUUAUCUCUGGUUACAGAGAGGGAUUAAAAACAACUAUUAAAGGAAAAACGCGGGGAUGUUUAUGCUUUGCUUUUCUAUCUACUGGCGGUUGGAAGUGGCAUUUUGAUUGGUGGAUUAGAGGCUUGAGAAGAGGAAGAUAUAUGCAUGUUUGGUAAGUGUAGGAUUGGGAAAACUAUUCCUCUUAAUCACCAGCUUAGGAUUAUUCUUUUUGUAUUCUGAUUUUGACAUUUUGGGUGCUAACUCACCAACCCAUCUAACUAAUUUCAAUGGUCUGUUUCCAAAUACGUGAACUGGUGAUGGAGCUUGAGAUUAUGGUAUAGUAGAUGAAUUAAAAGCACAUAAAUACAAGAAACUGAAAAGAAAAAAUAUUAAUCUUGGAACUCAAACAGGAAAGAAAACAGUUGGGGUCUACUGGAGCUAAUUAAAUCUUACUUACUUUAUUGUAAAAUUGAAGUGAGAUUUAUUUGAUAGUUGCACCACUGUUUGAAACAAACAUAAGAAAUCUGUUCAUAUUUUCUAAAGCAGAUCAGUAUGUCCAGUUUCUAGUAGGGUCUAUUAUAGUCUACUUUUGUGUUUAACGAAGGUUACUAGCAGAUUACAAUAUGAAAGUACCAACGUUCAUGAACUCUCUCAAGAUCGUUCAUGUACUCAUCAAGUGUUCUAUACUUGGACCUGAUUCUCGCUGGCUUUUACCUGACUACCCCGACGAGGACUAGAUGUGGUUCUUUUUCAUUGCUCCACGAAGAGAGAGAGCAAUCUUGAGAGAGUUCAUGAACGAUCCAGAGACCUGGCGUUUGUUUCUUUGCUUCGCACGAAGAGAGAGAGAGAGUGGAUGCGUGUGAUGCGUGUCAUGAACGAUCCAGCCCCAAAUUUCUAAUCGGCAGAGGUGCUCUAAGGAUGAAACAGUGAUAUUCGCUCUUUAUGGAGACAGUGCUGCAAAUCAGCCAUGGGAGGAAGAUGAUUGAAGGAGGAAGGGAAAAACGCAGAAGGGAGAGAAAGAAGACAGAACAGCACUACAAAGUUGAGUAGUUGUUUGCAGCUGAACACUGUGAUUGUCUUCUGUAUAUCUAGUUGGAGAACAAAACUGGAGCAAGGUAGAAGAUUAAAGGCCUGCUGCGAUGAAUAGAGACAGCAAGGUGCUCCGAUAGGGGAAAUUGAAGCAAAUGAGAAGCAUAGAUAUCAACUCCAACUUGAGGAGGCCAUAAGAACAUAACUACAUUUUCUCUCCCAGUAUUUGGUGGUUGUUAUUUUGCAUUUCUUACUUGGACCUGAUUUCUGAUUUUUUAUGUCUCACAUUUCAACAAUUUAAUCCCAGAUUUUUUUACAUAGGCAACUACAUGAACUUAUUACUGAACGAGACGAGUUGGAAACUUUUGCCUUUAUUGAUCCUGCUGCUACAUAUAAUUGCGAGAGAUCAGACUUUAGUUCCUACUUAGUGAAGACUUUGCUAUAGAUGUUGACUCUACCAAAGUGAUUUUGAGUAAGGCUAGCUAGAUUUUGUAGAAUCAUUUUGAAGUAGAACGUUGUACAGUUGCAGGUGAACUAAACUGCAUAUAGUUAUUGCAAUGGUCUAUUUUGGGCUAGCUUUGAUGUAGGUUGGGGUGUUUUUGCCUAUUUUUGAAACUAUUAACAAUUCUGCUGUUCGACAGAAAUUAAUGCAUUGCCCCAUAUUCAAUUAA